GACGAACGCUGGCGGCGUGCCUAACACAUGCAAGCCGAGCGAUGAAGUUUCUUUCGGGAAAUGGAUUAGCGGCGGACGGGUGAGUAACACGUGGGUAACCUGCCUCAUAGAGGGGAAUAGCCUCCCGAAAGGGAGAUUAAUACCGCAUAAUAUUACAGUUUCGCAUGAAGCAGUAAUUAAAGGAGUAAUCCGCUAUGAGAUGGACCCGCGGCGCAUUAGCUAGUUGGUGAGGUAACGGCUCACCAAGGCGACGAUGCGUAGCCGACCUGAGAGGGUGAUCGGCCACAUUGGGACUGAGACACGGCCCAGACUCCUACGGGAGGCAGCAGUGGGGAAUAUUGCACAAUGGGGGAAACCCUGAUGCAGCAACGCCGCGUGAGUGAUGACGGUCUUCGGAUUGUAAAGCUCUGUCUUUGGGGACGAUAAUGACGGUACCCAAGGAGGAAGCCACGGCUAACUACGUGCCAGCCGCCGCCGUAAAAC
rnacentral:rRNA from 1 species